AAUCCAUGAAUUGGAGUUUUUCUCAGCAACCCCUUGAACCUCUCCCAUGUUUGACUCAACGACUCUUCAGGCUCUUGUUGAAAGGAGGAUAUUUCCUGUUUGCCUUU
rfam:Vigna angularis cultivar Jingnong 6 chromosome 11, whole genome shotgun sequence.